rnacentral:rRNA from 1 species
CGCCUAUUAGCUAGCCCCCUUACUAACAUCAACAAAUCACUAUUAAUUAACCCCGCAUCCACGCACCCCAACUAAACAAACCAUUUCAAACCCCCAGUACGGGAGACAGAACAGGAACUCACGGAGCAAUAUAAAAAGUACCGCAAGGGAACGCUGAAAAAGAGAUGAAAUAGCCCAGUAAAGCCUAAAAAAGCAAAGAUUAAACCUUGUACCUUUUGCAUCAUGAUUUAGCCAGUACCCUCAAGCAAAGUGCACUUUAGUUUGACACCCCGAAACUAAGGGAGCUACUCCAAGACAGCCUGUUUGUAGGGCAAACCCGUCUCUGUGGCAAAAGAGUGGGAAGAGCUUUGAGUAGAGGUGACAGACCUACCGAACUUAGUUAUAGCUGGUUGCCUGAGAACUGGAUAGUAGUUCAGCCUCCCGGCUUUUCUUUUCAUACCCAUCUUUUCUAAUCACCCUAUAGACACAGAAGAAACCGAGAGAGUUACUCAAAGGGGGUACAGCCCCUUUGAGCCAAGACACAACUUUUUCAGGAGGGUAAAGAUCAUAAUAAUACAAGGUAAAAUGUCUCAGUGGGCCUAAAAGCAGCCACCCCUAUAGAAAGCGUUACAGCUCAAACAUUUCUUUUACCCCAAAUCCCGAUAAUUUAAUCCUAACCCCCUAGUCUUAUCAGGCCGCUCCAUGCAAACAUGGAAGCGACAAUGCUAAAAUGAGUAAUAAGAGGGCCCUACGCCUCUCUCCCCGCACAUGUGUAAAUCGGAGCGGACCCCCCACCGAACCUUAACGGCCCCACAAAAAGAGGGCACUGUUUUACAACCCUAAGAGACAGGAAAAACAUUCAUCAAUUCAACCGUUAACCCUACACUGGUGUGCCCCUGGGGAAAGACUAAAAGAAAGAGAAGGAACUCGGCAAUUCCAUAUAAAGCCUCGCCUGUUUACCAAAAACAUCGCCUCUUGCAUACCUUAGAAUAAGAGGUCCUGCCUGCCCAGUGACACCGGUUCAACGGCCGCGGUAUUUUGACCGUGCAAAGGUAGCGUAAUCACUUGUCUUUUAAAUGAAGACCCGUAUGAACGGCACGACGAGGGCUUAACUGUCUCCUCUCUCAAGUCAAUGAAAUUGAUCUUCCCGUGCAGAAGCGGGAAUAAUUCCAUAAGACGAGAAGACCCUAUGGAGCUUUAGGCACCAAGCAGAGCACGUUAAGCACUUAUAAACAAAAAACUAAACGUAGUGCAUCACUGUCUUAUUUGCCUUAGGUUGGGGCGACCCUGGGGAAAUAAAAAUCCCCCAUGUGGAGUGGGAGCAUCUAGAUACUUCUUCCUUAACACUUCUCCCAGAACCAAGAGUCACAACUCUAAUUUACAGAACUUCUGACCAAACAUGAUCCGGCUACAAGCCGAUCAACGGACCAAGUUACCCUAGGGAUAACAGCGCAAUCCCCUUCCAGAGCCCAUAUCGACAAGGGGGUUUACGACCUCGAUGUUGGAUCAGGACAUCCUAAUGGUGCAGCCGCUAUUAAGGGUUCGUUUGUUCAACGAUUAAAGUCCUACGUGAUCUGAGUUCAGACCGGAGUAAUCCAGGUCGGUUUCUAUCUAUGUCGUAUUCUUUUCUAGUACGAAAGGACCGAAGAGAAGAGGCCCAUACUUCAAGCACGCCUCACCCUUACCUAAUGAAAACAUCUAAACUAGACAAAAGGGAACACUCCAAUGCCUGAGAUAAUGGCAU